GCUUGCACCUUUCAAGUGAGUGGCGAACGGGUGAGUAACACGUGGACAACCUGCCUCAAGGCUGGGGAUAACAUUUGGAAACAGAUGCUAAUACCGAAUAAAACUUAGUGUCGCAUGACACAAAGUUAAAAGGCGCUUCGGCGUCACCUAGAGAUGGAUCCGCGGUGCAUUAGUUAGUUGGUGGGGUAAAGGCCUACCAAGACAAUGAUGCAUAGCCGAGUUGAGAGACUGAUCGGCCACAUUGGGACUGAGACACGGCCCAAACUCCUACGGGAGGCUGCAGUAGGGAAUCUUCCACAAUGGGCGAAAGCCUGAUGGAGCAACGCCGCGUGUGUGAUGAAGGCUUUCGGGUCGUAAAGCACUGUUGUAUGGGAAGAACAGCUAGAAUAGGAAAUGAUUUUAGUUUGACGGUACCAUACCAGAAAGGGACGGCUAAAUACGUGCCAGCAGCCGCGGUAAUACGUAUGUCCCGAGCGUUAUCCGGAUUUAUUGGGCGUAAAGCGAGCGCAGACGGUUUAUUAAGUCUGAUGUGAAAGCCCGGAGCUCAACUCCGGAAUGGCAUUGGAAACUGGUUAACUUGAGUGCAGUAGAGGUAAGUGGAACUCCAUGUGUAGCGGUGGAAUGCGUAGAUAUAUGGAAGAACACCAGUGGCGAAGGCGGCUUACUGGACUGCAACUGACGUUGAGGCUCGAAAGUGUGGGUAGCAAACAGGAUUAGAUACCCUGGUAGUCCACACCGUAAACGAUGAACACUAGGUGUUAGGAGGUUUCCGCCUCUUAGUGCCGAAGCUAACGCAUUAAGUGUUCCGCCUGGGGAGUACGACCGCAAGGUUGAAACUCAAAGGAAUUGACGGGGGACCCGCACAAGCGGUGGAGCAUGUGGUUUAAUUCGAAGCAACGCGAAGAAACCUUACCAGGUCUUGACAUCCUUUUG
rnacentral:rRNA from 1 species